UCAUUACAUUUCUUUUAACGUAGAACCUACUUCGUAUGACAUCAUAACUUGUAAAUGUGUUAAACCUGUGCUAACCCACUAAGACCAGGCGCGUAGCUGCCUAUACGCAAGUACGCAAGUGCGUACACAUCAUUUUCAAAAAAAAAAAAAAAAAAAAAAAAAGAGGGAUAAAAGAAAAGAAGGAAAAAAUGAAAGAGAGAAAUUUAUUCGGGGAAAAAGAGGCACUACCCGUGUUUCAAAUUAUUUUGUGUCUUAUUGUUUCGAUUCAAAUUUUAUUCAGCAUGUCUUCACAUUCAAAUUUAGUCCUUUUUAAAAUCAAUUCCAAAAACAUCUUUCAACAUUCUUGAGGAAAAAAAUAUUGUUGAACCAAAAUUUUCAACUGUAAAUCCGCGUAAUCCUGAUUAUCCGGAGAAAUAUUUGAUAAAGGAAAGCGAUCUAAGGGACUUUGAUCGACAGAAAAAGUUACAAAUGUCAAAGAAGACUAUACAAGAUUUUUAAUUUCCGUAGAGGUAAUGAAUAAAUGUCGUUGAAUGUCGUUAAACAAUCUAAAUUAUGGUGAACAAAAUAAAUAAUAAUAUAGCUUCUUUUACUGAUGUUACCAAUUUAAAGAAUUAUAUAAUUGAAGCAUUCUCGAAUCUUUUCAGCUAUCAAAUAUGAAGGUAAUCAAAAGACAA